rnacentral:rRNA from 1 species
GGGAACCUGGAUGCAGCGACGCCGCGUGAGCGAAGAAGUAUUUCGGUAUGUAAAGCUCUAUCAGCAAGGAAGAUAAUGACGGUACUUGACUAAGAAGCUCCGGCUAAAUACGUGCCAGCAGCCGCGGUAAUACAAA